AUGGCUUCUUACAUCAAUCAAUAUCGACUUUGGGGAAUUUUGGGCGUUGUAUUUAUUUUGCUCUCAGGAUUCAUAACUAGCUUAGAUGCCAUGAUUCCACAACCAAUAUAUAAGUGCGUCGGCAACGGGACUUGCACAAACAAUAUAGAUUGCACAAACACAUGCUCUUUUUUCGGAUAUAAGAAAGGUGAGCUUCCUCAAGCAGAACUACCAAUGUUGAAAAGAUCUAUCGACAUACCUGUUGGCUGA